rnacentral:rRNA from 1 species
AUUGAACGCUGGCGGCAGGCCUAACACAUGCAAGUCGAGCGGAGCGGCGGACGGGUGAGUAAUGCCUAGGAAUCUGCCUGGUAGUGGGGGAUAACGUCCGGAAACGGGCGCUAAUACCGCAUACUAUCAGAUGAGCCUAGGUCGGAUUAGCUAGUUGGGGGGGUGAAGGCCUACCAAGGCGACGAUCCGUACCUGGUCUGAGAGGAUGAUCAGUCACACUGGAACUGAGACCCGGUCAAGACUCCUAAGGGAGGAAGCAGUGGGGACUCUUGGCCAAUGGGCGAAAGCCUGGUCCAGCCAUGCCGGGUGUGUGAAGAAGGUCUUCGGUUUGUAAAGCACUUUAGGUUGGGAGGCGUUACCAACAGAAUAAGCACCGGCUAACUUCGUGCCAGCAGCCGCGGUAAUUC